rnacentral:rRNA from 1 species
CUCAGAUUGAACGCUGGCGGCAGGCCUAACACAUGCAAGUCGAGCGGUAGAGAGAAGCUUGCUUCUCUUGAGAGCGGCGGACGGGUGAGUAAUGCCUAGGAAUCUGCCUGGUAGUGGGGGAUAACGUUCGGAAACGGACGCUAAUACCGCAUACGUCCUACGGGAGAAAGCAGGGGACCUUCGGGCCUUGCGCUAUCAGAUGAGCCUAGGUCGGAUUAGCUAGUUGGUGAGGUAAUGGCUCACCAAGGCGACGAUCCGUAACUGGUCUGAGAGGAUGAUCAGUCACACUGGAACUGAGACACGGUCCAGACUCCUACGGGAGGCAGCAGUGGGGAAUAUUGGACAAUGGGCGAAAGCCUGAUCCAGCCAUGCCGCGUGUGUGAAGAAGGUCUUCGGAUUGUAAAGCACUUUAAGUUGGGAGGAAGGGCAUUAACCUAAUACGUUAGUGUUUUGACGUUACCGACAGAAUAAGCACCGGCUAACUUCGUGCCAGCAGCCGCGGUAAUACGAAGGGUGCAAGCGUUAAUCGGAAUUACUGGGCGUAAAGGGUGCGUAGGCGGUUAGUUAAGUCUGUUGUGAAAUCCCCGGGCUCAACCUGGGAAUGGCAAUGGAUACUGGCUAGCUAGAGUGUGUCAGAGGAUGGUGGAAUUCCCGGUGUAGCGGUGAAAUGCGUAGAGAUCGGGAGGAACAUCAGUGGCGAAGGCGGCCAUCUGGGACAACACUGACGCUGAAGCACGAAAGCGUGGGGAGCAAACAGGAUUAGAUACCCUGGUAGUCCACGCCCUAAACGAUGCGAACUGGAUGUUGGUCUCAACUCGGAGAUCAGUGUCGAAGCUAACGCGUUAAGUUCGCCGCCUGGGGAGUACGGUCGCAAGACUGAAACUCAAAGGAAUUGACGGGGGCCCGCACAAGCGGUGGAGCAUGUGGUUUAA